AUUGAACGCUGGCGGCAGGCCUAACACAUGCAAGUCGAACGAGUGGCGGACGGGUGAGUAAUGUCUGGGAAACUGCCUGAUGGAGGGGGAUAAUUACUGGAAACGGUAGCUAAUACCGCAUACCAUCAGAUGUGCCCAGAUGGGAUUAGCUUGGUGGUGGGGUAACGGCUCACCAAGGCGACGAUCCCUAGCUGGUCUUGGAGGAUGACCAGCCACACAGGAACUGAGACACGGUCCAGACUCCUACGGGAGGAAGCAGUGGGGAAUAUUGCACAAUGGGAGAAAGCCUGAUGCAGCCAUGCCGCGAGAAUGAAGAAGGCAUUCGGAUUGUAAAGUACUUUCAGCGGGGAAGCGUUACCCGCAGAAGAAGCACCGGCUAACGCCGUGCCAGCAGCCGCGGUAAUAC
rnacentral:rRNA from 1 species